AACAGUUCUGAAAUAUCACCUGAAAGAUGAAGUGCAAAAGAGCUGGCUUUUAGCCUUGGCUUGACACAGCCUAGCUCACUGUAGAUUGGCCUCACUUGAUAGCAGCUGUCCAAACAUUUAUCUUCUCCCAGCUUUCU